GACUGCUGGGCCACCGCCGCCGAGUCGAGCCGCACGGGCCCGUCGUACAGCUUCCGCAGCGCCCCGGCCCGCGACGGCGUCGUCGGGAACACCGGCUCCAGGAAGUCGAGGUGGUGCAGCGUCACCAGCGGCGCCACGGGGUGCGCGCCCAGGAGGCCCAGCACGUCGCCCCACAGGUCGCACUGGUGGAACCCCGGGUGGCGCGUCAGGGGCACGCCCAGCUCCGACAUGCACGCGUGGAUGCGGUCGUCGCUGCCGUACAGCGCCGGGUACCGGUGCAGGCACCCGUCCUGCAUCUUGGCCAGCUCCUCCGCCAGCGCGCGGCUGAUGGCGAACCCGCCGCCGCCGAACGCCAUGCCGUAG
rnacentral:rRNA from 1 species